UCAAUGCCGCCGACUUUUCGCCUUCGCGUCUCCGCGCGUCAUCGUCGAUCGAGACCCUGGACCAGCUACUGCCUCGGCUCUCGGCCCUUCGCUGUGAUCUUG
rnacentral:lncRNA from 1 species